rnacentral:lncRNA from 1 species
GUUUUAUGUACUUAUGUUUGUCUGUUUGCUUUUUUUCUUUUUUACUGGCAUGGCUUUGUCAGUUUUAUUUCGACUUAUGCGUUAGAAUUUUAUUUUGGUUUCUUUCGUCUCCAUCUUAAUGUUUUUGUUUUUCUAAAUUAAAAUUGGGUGUUAUUGGUGAAUUACAACCCUUUAUUUAUAUUUUAAUCAACACUCAAAAUAAC